GCCUGACGCAGCGACGCCGCGUGGGUGACGAAGGCCUUCGGGUUGUAAAGCCCUGUGGGGAGGAACGAACCGUCCGGGGGCCAAUACCCUCCGGGCCUGACGGUACCUCUUUAGCAAGCAUCGGCUAACUCUGUGCCAGCAGCCGCGGUAAUACGGAGGGGUGCGAGCGUUAAUCGGAAUUACUGGGCGUAAAGCGCACGUAGGCGGUUCUGUAAGUGGGAUGUGAAAACCCCCGGGCUUAACCUGGGACUUGCAUACCAGACUGCAAAGCUAGAGUAUGAGAGAGGGUGGUGGAAUUUCCGGUGUAGCGGUGAAAUGCGUAGAGAUCGGAAGGAACAUCAGUGGCGAAGGCGGCCACCUGGCUUAAUACUGACGCUGAGGUGCGAAAGCGUGGGGAUCAAACAGGAUUAGAUACCCUGGUAGUCCACGCCGUAAACGAUGAGAACUAGCCGUUGGAUUCCUUAGAGGAUUUAGUGGCGCAGCUAACGCGAUAAGUUCUCCGCCUGGGGAGUACGGCCGCAAGGUUAAAACUCAAAUGAAUUGACGGGGGC
rnacentral:rRNA from 1 species